CAGCAUGUCUGAUUCAGCAGGAUGCCUUCCGUACCGCCGGUCAGAGGGUUUGCAGCAGUGUGCUUGUUGUUGGAUGUAGGUUACGAGAGCAAAGUGAAGAGUGAAGAGAGCAUGCACGUGCAAAGAUGCCUCGCAAGGAAAGGAGGUUAAAACAAAAAAGAGGGAGCUGCUUGAGUCAGCAAAAGGCAGUGUAUCCCUCCCUAUCCAGUUGGGUUAAAAAGAGCACAACAGCUCUUGGUGUGCAGCAGCCACCUCCUCCUGUAAGCAUCUCCCUCUCCAAGCAGUCAGCUUUGGCAGCAGCUGCAGCACUACGGCAGUCUCGGAUCAAUAAGCCCUCCGGCAGUAUCAGCAGCAACCCCCCCAGCAGCAACUGUUCCCUGCAUCCUCUCACUUUCCAAGAUUGUGUUAAACAGUGUAGUUAAAACCCCACUGCCAUCUCUCCUAAACAUCUCCAUGCCUCCACAGGGCAGCCAGCUGACCAAGAGAAGUGUGCCACAAAGAUGGCGCUGGUGCAGAGGAGGCUUUCCAUUCUUUGACCACGAGUUUCCGUCCUAACAUAAGGGCAGUCUGGAUCCAGUCAGCAAGCGGUGGAGUCAAAUCACUUAAU